UUCCUUGGAAAAGGACAGCUGAGAGGGUGAAACUCCCGUCCGCCUGGUAGAAUGAGUCUUUGUCAACGAGUCGAGUUGUUUGGGAUUGCAGCUCUAAUUUGGUGGUAAAUUCCAUCUAAAGCUAAAUAUUAGUGGGAGACCGAUAGCGUACAAGUACCGUGAGGGAAAGAUGCAAAGAACUUUGAAAAGAGAGUUAAAGAGUACCUGAAAUUGCUGAAACGGAAGCGAAGGAAACCAGUGUUUGUUGGUUCAUAUUUCCUUGGCCACUUGUGGUUUGGGCG
rnacentral:rRNA from 1 species